GAUCACGUGGCGCAAUGGUAGCGCAUCUGGCUUCGAUCGCCACGCUACCAGAAGGCUGCAGGUUCGAGCCCUGUCGUGGUCA